ensembl:lncRNA
GGAAGAGUCACACUGACCACUAACAACUAGGGAGCUUAUCACCAACAGACAUGUCAUCACAAAUGCUGCAAAUCUCUAUCUCUAAGGAUACACAAGACAAACCACAACAUACUAACAUGUGGCCUCUUAUUAAGUCUUAAUCAGACCCAACGGAGGACGGAGGAGACAAGGAAUGCAGCUUUAUCUGGCGCCUGGUUUAAGAAAAUUCACCCCUGGAAGAAUAAGCUUUCUGGUUGACUGACCAUAUUCAGAAAGAAAAGGCCAUAAAAUGUUAGUUCUCUUGGCCAGAAGAUGAUGUAAAUCCCUUAAGACCUCUAUAUACAUCUGCAUAAAGCACC